rnacentral:tRNA from 1 species
GGACAGGUGGCCGAGCGGUCUAUGGCAGCGGUCUUGAAAACCGCCGUGGGGGUGACUCCACCGUGGGUUCGAAUCCCACCCUGUCCGCCA